UGCGGAAGGAUCAUUAUCGAAUAAACUAGGUGGGUUGUUGCUGUCCCUCUUGGGGGAAUUGUGCACGCCUUACCUUUUUUGUUUAUCCACCUGUGCACACAUUGUAGGUCUGGAGGGGGAAGAGAGUGUUAGCACUCUCUGACACUUUUAGGUCCUAUGUCUUUUACAUAUACACUAUUGAAAGUAAUAGAACGAUUCAAUGGGCUAUAAGCCUAUAAAAUAAAUACAACUUUCAGCAACGGAUCUCUUGGCUCUCGCAUCGAUGAAGAACGCAGCGAAAUGCGAUAAGUAAUGUGAAUUGCAGAAUUCAGUGAAUCAUCGAAUCUUUGAACGCACCUUGCGCUCGUUGGUAUUCCGACGAGCAUGCCUGUUUGAGUGUCAUUAAAUUCUCAACCUCAUCGCUUUUGUGAUGAAGGCUUGGAUGUGGAGGUUUUCUGCAGGCCGAAAGGUCUGCUCCUCUCAAAUUUAUUAGUGGGUGCCCCGCGCAAACCUAUCUAUUGGUGUGAUAAUUAUCUACGCCGUGGAUAUUAGGAUUGCUGUAAAAAGGUGGUUUGCCCUGCUUCUAACCGUCCUUUUUGAAGGACAACUUGAACCAUUUGACCUCAAAUCAGGUAGGACUACCCGCUGAACUUAAGCAUAUCAAUAAGC
rnacentral:rRNA from 1 species